rnacentral:rRNA from 1 species
UACGUAGGCAGCGAGCGUUGUUCGGAGUUACUGGGCGUAAAGGGUGUGUAGGCGGUUGUUUAAGUUUGGUGUGAAAUCUCCCGGCUCAACUGGGAGGGUGCGCCGAAUACUGAAUGACUUAGAGUGCGGGGAGAGGAGAGUGGAAAAUUCCUGGUGUAGCGGUGAAAAUGCGUAGAUAUCAGGAGGAAACACCGGCGGUGUAGACGGCUCUCUGGGACCCGUAAACUGACGCUGAGACACGAAAGCGUGGGUAGCAAACAGGG